CACGUAGGGUGCGAGCGUUGUCCGGAAUUAUUGGGCGUAAAGAGCUCGUAGGCGGUGUGUCGCGUCGGCCGUGAAAACCUGCAGCUUAACUGUGGGCUUGCGGUCGAUACGGGCAUCACUGGAGUUCGGCAGGGGAGACUGGGAAUUCCUGGUGUAGCGGUGAAAUGACGCAGAGUAUCAGGAGGAACACCGGUGGCGAAGGCGGGUCCUCUGGGCCGAUGACUGACGCUGGAGGAGCGAAAGCGUGGGGAGCGAACAGG
rnacentral:rRNA from 1 species